AGCCCCAUCUUCACCCGUGUUCAGUCCAAAGGAUGGACGUAGCUUCUCCAAACACAGACAAACAAGGCCAGGGCCGCCCAAGCAUCCUGCACACAUUCUUGGAGGGAUGUGAGUAGCCAGCUUUUCUUCCAUAGAUCACACAUCAAGCUUGGCUCUCAGUCACUGAGGGCUGAGAGGCCAUUACAAAGCCAAAUACACGUGAAUGCUACUGGAAUGUUUUCCCCAAGCUCAACGUGGCUGCUUGCGCUAGACCCACAGCGUCAGACAAGCAACUUCGACAGACACCCAAAUGCCUGCAAAUGCAAGCAAACUACUCCUACCGAGGGGAACCACAUACUGACC
rnacentral:lncRNA from 1 species